CUAGAAAUUAGAAAAUAACUGUCAGGUUUAUAAUAUGAUUUGACAAAUAUACACUUACAAAAAGGAAAAUAGG